AGAGUUUGAUCCUGGCUCAGGAUGAACGCUGGCGGCAUGCCUAAUACAUGCAAGUCGAACGAAGUCUUUAGGAAGCUUGCUUCCAAAGAGACUUAGUGGCGAACGGGUGAGUAACACGUAGGUAACCUGCCCAUGUGCCCGGGAUAACUGCUGGAAACGGUAGCUAAAACCGGAUAGGUAUGAGGGAGGCAUCUUCCUCAUAUUAAAGCACCUUCGGGUGUGAACAUGGAUGGACCUGCGGCGCAUUAGCUGGUUGGUGAGGUAACGGCCCACCAAGGCGAUGAUGCGUAGCCGACCUGAGAGGGUGAACGGCCACAUUGGGACUGAGACACGGCCCAAACUCCUACGGGAGGCAGCAGUAGGGAAUUUUCGUCAAUGGGGGGAACCCUGAACGAGCAAUGCCGCGUGUGUGAAGAAGGUCUUCGGAUCGUAAAGCACUGUUGUAAGUGAAGAAUGCCAUAUAGAGGAAAUGCUAUGUGGGUGACGGUAGCUUACCAGAAAGCCACGGCUAACUACGUGCCAGCAGCCGCGGUAAUACGUAGGUGGCAAGCGUUAUCCGGAAUCAUUGGGCGUAAAGGGUGCGUAGGUGGCACGAUAAGUCUGAAGUAAAAGGCAACAGCUCAACUGUUGUAUGCUUUGGAAACUGUCGAGCUAGAGUGCAGAAGAGGGCGAUGGAAUUCCAUGUGUAGCGGUAAAAUGCGUAGAUAUAUGGAGGAACACCAGUGGCGAAGGCGGUCGCCUGGUCUGUAACUGACACUGAUGCACGAAAGCGUGGGGAGCAAAUAGGAUUAGAUACCCUAGUAGUCCACGCCGUAAACGAUGAGAACUAAGUGUUGGAGAGAUUCAGUGCUGCAGUUAACGCAAUAAGUUCUCCGCCUGGGGAGUAUGCACGCAAGUGUGAAACUCAAAGGAAUUGACGGGGGCCCGCACAAGCGGUGGAGUAUGUGGUUUAA
rnacentral:rRNA from 2 species